UUUUUUUUUUUUUUUUUUUUUUUUUGAGACAGUCUCACUUUGUUGCCCACGCUGGAGUGCAAUGGCACAAUCUUGGCUCACUGCAACCUCCGCCUCUCGGGCUCAAGCAAUUCUCCUGCCUCAGCCUCCCUGGUAGCUGGGAUUACAGGCACAUGCCACCAUGUCCAGCUAAUUUUUGUAUUUUCAGUAGAGACUGGGUUUCACCAUGUUGCCCAGGCUGGUCUUCAACUCCUGACCUCAAGCGAUCCGCCCUCCUCAGCUUUCCAAAGUGCUGGGAUUACAGGUGUCAGCCACCGUGCCUGGCCCAAGGGUGGGAUAGAUUUAGUGAGAUGACUGGAUAAACAGAAUCAAGAAAAAGCUUUAUCAAAAACUUAUGCUUCUUAAAAACUUAAUCCCGGGACAGAAUCAUCUAAAACUUUGUUCCACGUCUUCACUUUGACUCACCCAUAAAAACUUCAAGAACGAAGAAUGAAAAAUCUUAGGAAUAACCACAUAUUUUCUAAUGCUCAAUAUUUUAUUUGUAUUGUUGUCUUCUAAACAGAUAUGAUAGGUCUUCAUGAUUUUUUGUUUUCCUUGAACUGAUUCCCAAAGUAUUAGUCUCAUGAAUCAUGCAUUCAAAAGAAACACAAUCAUUGCAUUCUCUUUGCUGUAUAAUUUUGGUUUCAGUUUUGCUUACAUUUCCUAUUCAAGGAACAUUUUCCUCCAAAACGACAUUUGAAAAAAACAGCCAAAAUGUAGUAGAGAAUAGCGCGAGAGCUAUUCUAGACUGUAACGAAAGCCAUCUGCUAUCACAAUUUAAUUUAUUUCAAGUACUAAUAAGCUGAUGACAAAACAGCAUUGUCUUUUAGUUUACUCACGCGAACUAUUUCUCUUUUCUCCUUUUGAUCAUCUGGAGGAACAGGCGACCUUGGUUUCUGCUUUAGCUUCCUUGUUCUCAUUAGAUCAAACAAUGCCUCUAAAGUGACCACAGAUUUGCAUUCAAACUGAAAACCUUUACCAAAUGCAGUCUUGAUUUGUACUUUGAAAAAAACAUUUGCAAGGUAUUUUAUCCUUUUCUCCAACUUUUGACAUAUUACAAAGUACCCAAAUGUGCCAGACUGUUGCCUCAUCAGCCCCUGGCAGUCAGGUACAGUUAGAUGCAAGGCAAUCUUCCUAAAAGUUACUUAUUAGAAAUGUGAGAAGGGCAAAUGC
rnacentral:lncRNA from 1 species